rnacentral:rRNA from 1 species
GGCAGCAUGAUCUAUCUUGCUAGAUUGAUGGCGAGUGGCGAACGGGUGAGUAAUACAUCGGAACGUGCCCUGUAGUGGGGGAUAACUAGUCGAAAGAUUAGCUAAUACCGCAUACGACCUGAGGGUGAAAGUGGGGGACCGCAAGGCCUCAUGCUAUAGGAGCGGCCGAUGUCUGAUUAGCUAGUUGGUGAGGUAAAGGCUCACCAAGGCGACGAUCAGUAGCUGGUCUGACAGGACGAUCAGCCACACUGGGACUGAGACACGGCCCAGACUCCUACGGGAGGCAGCAGUGGGGAAUUUUGGACAAUGGGCGAAAGCCUGAUCCAGCAAUGGCGCGUGUGUGAAGAAGGCCUUCGGGUUGUAAAGCACUUUUGUCCGGAAAGAAAUGGCUCUGGUUAAUACCUGGGGUCGAUGACGGUACCGGAAGAAUAAGGACCGGCUAACUACGUGCCAGCAGC